UACGUAGGGUGCGAGCGUUAAUCGGAAUUACUGGGCGUAAAGGGUGCGCAGGCGGUUAUAUAAGACAGAUGUGAAAUCCCCGGGCUCAACCUGGGAACUGCGUUUGUGACUGUAUGACUAGAGUACGGUAGGGAGGGGUGGAAUUCCUGGUGUAGCAGUGAAAUGCGUAGAUAUCUUCAGGACGGAUAAAGGUGAAAACAAACCUCUAUGUAUAAACAGACGUUGAGGGACGAAGGCAUUGUGUAACGAACAGG
rnacentral:rRNA from 1 species